GGCCUAAACUCUAUAUUUAUAGAGCAUGGCUUAAAAUCAUAACGCAUAUUGACCCCGUCAUUCAGGGCAUGCGUUAUGUUAUGCAGGGAAACUUGUAUAUAGGCUUAGGCCU
rnacentral:sRNA from 12 species